AUUAGUGUCCUUGGAGUUAAAUAAGCUAAUACUUAGACACCUCUGGCACAAGCAAUUAUGUUUGUGUAUUGAAUAAUUGAUUCAAAGAGGGGGGAAGGGCUGCUAAUCAGAUCUGAGCAUAAUGAAUUGAUUUAAUUAACAGGGGAAUCCGUGGCUCUCUGGGAAGCGCGCGCAUUUAUUCAGAAGCAGGAGCGCGCAGAGCGCAUAAAUUGGGUGAGAAAGGCAGCGUGAGCAUGCUGUUAGGAGUUGUGUCAGCCUCAGAAUUGGAUUUCUUGAAUAUAGUUACAGUUUCGGAGCAAAUGAGAACUGGGAGGAACACGUUUCUACUCCAAGAAUAGCUUCUUCGCAGCAGCUCGAUUUAAACGGCUGUUUAAAUUAGAUUUGAGUUAGUGUACUCGUUUCAUUUUCGCAUGGAAUGCACCGUGGCGUUCAACUUUAGUUUUAGACCUCGUUAAUUACAAGCGUGGAUAUUACUGACGCGCUGCCUACGCGAAUACAACUGAGGGGACAUCUCUACGCACAAUCUCCGAAAAACAUUAAUUACACAUUAAUAACGGACACACAUAUGUUUCUCUACAUGGCUUUCUGUUUCUGAAAAGCGGAAAACCACACAGACGUGCCUGUGUUACAAUACCUUGCGGCAGCAACGCGGACGAUUAUUUUUGUUGUUGCAAAGCAAUUUCUUCUCAGAGACGCGAGCGGCGCGCAGAAGUGUGCUGGAGCCGAGAGCGGAUCGCUUGGAGCCGGACUCCUCGCUCCUCAGGACGAUGGUGUUGGACAAGGAAGAGGGCAACGACACCAUACCAUACAUUUACUUGAUCUUGUACUUUCUUACCACGAUUCUGAGAGAGUGGGGGAAUGUUUUAAGGUAUUUAAAACUAUCUGGAUUGGGAGAAAUAAUUGGGUCCUCAUUGUGGACUUGUUCAGGAUUGAUCAUACACAUCGCUGGGCUCCCUAAGAACCUGGAGAAGAGAAAAGAACACCCUUCUACAUCCACAGUUACCGUUCCCGUUUAAUUUACGAGAACUGUGAACCAAUGAAAUUCGUUCGUUCCAAAUGUGUAUAUUUGAAAUGCAAUGUUUCAAAUGAAUACUAGACCCAUGAUCUGUCUGCUGCUUUAAUAAAACU